CUGUAAUACGUCUUUGAUAAUGGCUGCCGUGUAGGUAGCCGAAACGUCAGAAAUAAUAAAACAAUUUUAAUCUAGAUGAUCGUACAAUAAACUAAAAUUAAUGGAAAAACCCGGAUUCAAGCCCUUCAGUGAACAUGUAUAAUAGUUACAUCCUUUCACUGUGUAAUUGGUUAUUUUCAGUUAUUUCGUAAUAAUUUGUUUUCCUCUUGGUCUCACAUUAUUUUCCGAACUCCUAUAAACUCUCCUUCCUUCUCCUCUUCAAAUUAUAUCAACACCCCCCCCGUCUUAAAAAACCCUGCAGGCUGAAGAAAACUGUUAGGUCGAAACGCAUACCCCUGCACGCUAUUCCCACUCAAUUUCAAUCUCUCGCUCUUAUAUCCUCGCCUUUGAUCGUGUCCCAUAAAAAUUUCACCUAUUUUGGUUUCUACGGCCGUGAUUUAAUCGUAGUUUUCCUAGUUUUUUUACGUACAUGUUCAUUAUAGGAGUCAGAGUAAAGAAAUAAAGAACAACCAUUUUUGGAAUUAUACUGGUUCUCCCAUUAUUUAGGCUACAGGGCCGUAGGAAGCUCUUUUUUAUUGGGGGCUGGAAGCGAGGGCCGAAGGCCCGAGGAAAUUUUUAAAUUUAGAGUCUCUGAAAUGCCAUUUCCUGGACUCUGCAGCCCCCGGUUGCUACAUACGGCCCUGGGCUACACACGGAAAUGCACCGAAUAGCAAAUAAGGAUUCCCACUCGAAAGUCUUGCGCAAUAUUUUUUUUCGUCCGUUUAGUCUUGCACGAUAUUUUUUUUAAGUUCGAAUUACUUGCCCGAUAUUUUUUUUGAGAUUCUACCCACCCCCCAUCAAAAAUCAAAUGGUCCGUCCCUAAGGUAAAAUUUGUUAAUGUAUCCAUAAGCUCGCUGGGUGUUUUUGGUCAAUCGACGAACACCUUAACUGAUAUGCUCAAGGAACUGAAGUUCGAUGAACAACAAAUUAAAUACAUUAAAAAGAAAAUCAUUGAAAUCAUUCGCGCAUUAUAUUAUGUAUUCUGUCAACGAAACAAAGACUGGACUAGCCCAGAGCUUUAAAGGAUUAGUGUCAGGGUCAUGCAUUGCGGGGUUUUGUUAUUGUUUACAUUUUACUCAAAUACAACAAAUAGCAAUAAAAAUACCUUGUUUUGUACAUUUCUGAUAAGAAUUAGACAAAAAGAGCAAGGAUUAUG
rnacentral:lncRNA from 1 species